CUCCAGACUCCUACGGGAGGCAGCAGUGGGGGAUAUUGCACAAUGGGGGAAACCCUGAUGCAGCGACGCCGCGUGAGUGAAGAAGUACUUCGUUACGUAAAGCUCUAUCAGCAGGGAAGAAAAUGACGGUACCUGACUAAGAAGCCCCGGCUAACUACGUGCCAGCAGCCGCGGUAAUACGUAGGGGGCAAGCGUUAUCCGGAAUUACUGGGUGUAAAGGGAGCGCAGACGGCAGUGCAAGUCUGGAGUGAAAGCCCGUGGCUUAACCACGGGACUGCUCUGGAAACUGUGCAGCUAGAGUGCAGGAGAGGCAGGCGGAAUUCCUAGUGUAGCGGUGAAAUGCGUAGAUAUUAGGAGGAACACCAGUGGCGAAGGCGUCUUACUGGACCGAAACUGACGUUGAGGCUCGAAAGCGUGGGGAGCAAACAGGAUUAGAUACCCCAGUA
rnacentral:rRNA from 1 species